GUUUUCUACAUGUACUCUAGUUUCCUCCCACAUUCCAAAGAUGUGCACUUUAAGUUAAUUGGUGUGUCUACAUUGUCCCAGUCGUAGCGAGUGCACGGAGUGUGUGACUGUGCCCUCCGAUGGAUGGCAUCCUCUCUGGGGUUGGUUUUUGCCUUGUGUUCUCAGCUGCUGGGACACCCAUGCCCCUGAACUGGAUGGAAUUAGCAGGGUCCAGAAUCUCAUAGAUUAUGUUAAGAAGAUUGCUUCCACACCAAUUCUCCUACUCCAGUCCUUUUUAAAACGGACUCUGUAGCAAGAGGCAAUUCACGAAGAAAAAUAGCAAGCCAUGGCAUCUCCCACAAGCCAGGGCUGACUGCAAAUUUGAAUGAUCUUUUUCAUAAAUUCCACCAAUAUCUGACCACAAACUGAGUGAUGAAAGCCUACAGUCAGUCAACCACAAAUAAUUUCCUACUACCCACUAGGAAUGAGCUGCUAUGUCAAAUACUCCUGGGAAAACAACCUGUGCUUAGAUACCUCCAGGGAUGGGAAACUCUCUUCAGGAAGUAACCCACUGAUGUUUGGAAACUGAAUACUACAAAAUUAUUCCUGGCAGACCUCUGAGAAGAUAACAAGGAGGACAGAAAGCCUCUACUACAUACGUUUUUUGAAUACCAACAAAGUUCAUCUGAAUUAAAGACUAUAACAAGAUAAAAAAAUCUCAAGGAAAAUAAUAAAUUUUAACUGAAAUAAAAAACAGCUUUUAGAUUUUUAUUUUAGGUUUCGGUGUACAUGUGAAAGUUUGUCACACAGGCAAACACAUUUCAUGGGGGUUUGCUGUACAUAUUAUUUCAUCACUCAGGUGUUAAGUCCAGUACCCAAUAGUUACCUUUUCUGCUCUUCUCCCUCCUUCCACUCUCCCUCAUCAAGUAGAACCCAGUGUCUGUUGUUUCCUUCUUUGUGUUCGUAAGUUUUUUUUGUUUUCUUUCAUGCACAGUAUCACUCUUGUCAUCAGGCUGCAGUGCAAUGGUGCGAUCUCAGGUCACUGCAACCUCCGCCUUCCCGGUUCAAGUGAUUCUCCUACUUCAGCCUCCUGAGUAGCUGGGAUUACAGGAGUGAACCACCAUGCCCAGCUAAUUUUGAAUUUUUAGUAGAGACAGGGUUUCGCCAUGUUGGCCAGGCUGGUCUUGAACUCCUGUCCUCAGGUGGUCUGCCCACCUUGUCCUCCCAAAGUGCUGGAAUUACAGGUGUGAGCCACUGCACCGGCCUGUGUUCAUAAGUUCGUAUUAUUUAGCUCCCAUUUAUAAGUGAGAACAUGUGCUAUUUGGUUUUCUGUUCCUGUAUUAGUUUUUUUUUAAAGAAUAAUGAUCUCCAGCUCCAACUAUAUUUCUGCAAGACAUGAUCUCAUUCUUUUUUAUGGCUGCAUAGUAUUCUGUGGUGUAUAUGUAGCACAUCCUCUCUAUCCAGUCUGUCACUGAUGGGCUUUUAGAUUGAUUCCAUAUCUUUGCAAUUGUGAAUAGUCCUGUAGUGAACAUUCACAUGCAUGUGUCUUUAUGAUGGAAUGAUUUAUAUUCCUCUGGGAAUCUGCCCAGUAACAGGAUUGCUGGGUUAAAUGAUACUUACGCUUUUAGCUCUUUGAGGAAUCGUCAACCUGCUUUCCACAAUGGUUGAACUAAUUUACACUCCCAUCAACAGUGUAUAAGUGUUCCCUUUUUUCUGCAAGCUCAAAAUAUUCUGUUAUUUUUUGACUUUUUAAUAAUAGCCAUUCUGACUGGUGUGAGAUGGCAUCUCAUUUUGGUUUUGAUUUGCAUUUCUCCAAUGAUCAGUGAUACUGAGCUUUUUUUAUAUAUGCUUGUUGGCCACAUGUAUGUCUUCUUUUGAGCAGUCUCUGUUCCUGUCCUUUGCCCACUUUUUAAUAGGGUUGUUUCUCUUGUAAACUUGUUUAAGUACCUUACAAAUAUUGGCUAUCAGACCCUUGUCAGAUGCAUAGUUUGCAAAUAUUUUCUCCUAUUCUGUAGGUUGUCUGUUUACUCUGUUCAUAGUUUCUUCUGCUGUGUAGAAGUUCUUAAGGUGAAUUAGAUCCCACUUGUCAAUUUCUGCUUUUGUUGCAAUUGCUUUGGGUGUCUUUGUUAUGAUAUUUUCACCCAUUCCUAUGUCCAGGAUGGUAUUGCUUAGGUUGUCUUCUAGGGUUUUUUAUAGUUUUGGGUUUUACAUUUAAGUCUUUAAUCCAUCUUGAGUUGAUUUUUGUGUACGGUGUAAGAAAGGGGUCCAGCUCCAACUUUCUGCAUAUUGCUAGCCAGUUCUCCCAACACCAUUUAUUGAAUAGGGAGCCUUUUCCCCAUUGCUUAGAAAACAGCAUUAUAUCAUCAAACUAUAGACAUCUGUCCCAAAAGUCUCCCAUGGGCCACAAGACAAGGUUAAGAAUUAUGGUUUGAAUUUUAAAAGUGGUAAGUUAUUUUCUGGGAUUUAGAAAAACAAGUAAUUGUCUGUUUAGAAAUCAGAUCUGUAAAAGUAUGACAGCUGCUAAACUAGAACAUACUUGGCUUAAUUUUUUGCCAAUUUUGGUGCUUAAUUCUAUUCUCUGAUAUAGAACAGGCCACAUAUCUGCUCUCUCGCAGGCAAAAGUUUCACAAGUAUAUUUUUUAUUAAAAUUACAUAACUUUUUCCUUGUAUGAAGUCAUUAAAGCCGGGGUAAUAAGAUCAUUUAUAGCCUGAUUGCCACCAAAAUCCAGCCAUUCCUGCCAUCUGCAUGUGGCUUUGCUGUGAGAAAUCUUCUCUGACCUACAUCUUUCCAGACAUGACCUUCUAGAAAGUGAUAAUCAGUAGCCUGGGAUUCUAUGUGUUCCCCUAAAGGACUUUUGGUGGCCUCUUAAAAAUAAGGAAGCCAGAAGAAAAUUGGCCAAUUUUAGUAGAGAAAGUAUUUGCAAAGGUCAUGAAUAAAUGCAGUAUUAGAUAUUAAAGUAAAAAUUAGAAUAUAUAUUAUUCAUAUAAAGAAUCCAGAAGAUGGAUAUCAUCAUGCUAGUAGCAAAUAAAUUGAUCUAUAGUAUAACAUUUCAACUACAAAAUAGAGCCUUUGGAAUAUUCCAUUAUACUUGGGAAGGAUCAUAAUGAUGCACAUAAAGUCUGAAGGUAUUCAGCAUCAAAGUUCCCCAGCAAGAUGAAAUACAAAAGGUUAGGUCUUAG
rnacentral:lncRNA from 10 species